AUUGAACGCUGGCGGAAUGCUUUACACAUGCAAGUCGAACGGCAGCACGGGGGCAACCCUGGUGCGAGUGGCGAACGGGUGAGUAAUACAUCGGAACGUGCCCGGUCGUGGGGGAUAACGUAGCGAAAGUUACGCUAAUACCGCAUACGAUCUGAGGAUGAAAGCGGGGGACCUUCGGGCCUCGCGCGAUCGGAGCGGCCGAUGUCAGAUUAGGUAGUUGGUGGGGUAAAGGCCUACCAAGCCGACGAUCUGUAGCUGGUCUGAGAGGACGACCAGCCACACUGGGACUGAGACACGGCCCAGACUCCUACGGGAGGCAGCAGUGGGGAAUUUUGGACAAUGGGCGCAAGCCUGAUCCAGCCAUUCCGCGUGCAGGACGAAGGCCUUCGGGUUGUAAACUGCUUUUGUAUGGAACGAAAAGGCUCUGGCUAAUACCUGGGGCUCAUGACGGUACCGUAAGAAUAAGCACCGGCUAACUACGUG
rnacentral:rRNA from 1 species